rnacentral:tRNA from 1 species
GGGGUUGUGGCUCAGAGGUAGAGUGCUCGCCUAGCGUGCUCGCCUGGCAUGCGUGAGGCACUGGGUUAGAUUCUCAGCACCACA